GUGUCCAGUGUGAAGUACAGCUGGUGGAGUCUGGAGAAGACCUGGUGCAGCCUGGGGAGUCCCUGAGACUCACCUGUGUAGCGUCUGGAUUCACCUUCAGUAGAUAUGCAAUGAGCUGGGUUCGCCAGGCUCCAAAAAAGGGGCUGCACUGGCUCGCAUAUAUGUAUGAUGAUGGAAGUAGCACAAGAUAUGCAGACUCCAUUAAGGGCCAAUUCCCCAUCUCCAGAGAUAACCCCAAGAACACGCUGUAUCUGCAGAUGAACAACCUGUGGGCCAAGGACAAGGCCACAUAUUACUGUGCAAGAGACAGGGAGCAGGUGAAGAUGGAGGUUACAGGCAGGUUUUCUCUCAGGGUCCGGGGCUUCCUGUCCACACAGCAGUUUCUCCAGGGAGCCUCUCUGGUCACAGGAUUCUGA